rnacentral:misc_RNA from 1 species
UUGCUUGUUCCUCCAAAUGUAUAUGCACAGAACUUGGACUCUGCUGCGCCAGCACCGAAGCAGUCAUUCCCUACUCAAAGAGUAUAUGGAUCAUCUAAGCUUCAGAAAAGAGUUCGUUCUAAUUCACCAGCCCCACUUAAUCGACAGAAGAGCUUUCGCAGGGAAAAUGAGAGAAUUAAUUCUGGAUAUUCUGUACCAAGUAGAGCUCUGAGGUCACCAUCUCCUAGCA